UCUUAUGGAUGAACAAAGAAAGUGGUUUCUUUAGAUGAAAUCUACUUCUAAUGAGUAGGUUGUGAA
rnacentral:pre_miRNA from 2 species